UGAAAAAAAAUUGAAUAUGGCUCCUUAAGUAACUGAUUUUUCCUUACGUCACUUCAGUUGGCUAUUAAACUGUGUUGAAGUUGGUGGUAUAUUUUGCGGGCCAAAAUUCGUGUGAAAUACUUUCUUUAAAACUCGAAUUGUAAUAAUCCCAGGAUGCAUAAUACUAAGCCUCAAAACACAAGAAAGAAAAGAAAAAUAUUAGGAUAGGCAUACCGAAAUUAUUCAGAGGAAAUGUUAGAUUUAGCGGUUGACAUGGUAGAAAAUAACAGGAUGUCAAAUCGGAAGGCAGAAAAGAGGUUCGGGAUCUCUCGAUAAACGGUGUUAAAUAAAGUUAAGAAAAUUCACUUAAAAUCACUUGAAGAACAAACCAAGCUCACUGACGAAGAGAAAGAAAAUUGGCAAACGUGUUGUUAGCUCCAGUAGAUUAUGGCAGCCCCAUGACUAAAAUGGAUGAAAAAUUGUUAGUCUAUAAAUAUGUUGCAAAAUUCACGGACUGAUUUGUUCGAUGGAAAAUUACCCAGUAAUACGUGC
rnacentral:misc_RNA from 1 species